UGGGGAAUUUUGGACAAUGGGCGCAAGCCUGAUCCAGCCAUGCCGCGUGCGGGAAGAAGGCCUUCGGGUUGUAAACCGCUUUUGUCAGGGAAGAAAUCUUCUGAGUUAAUACCUCGGGAGGAUGACGGUACCUGAAGAAUAAGCACCGGCUAACUACGUGCCAGCAGCCGCGGUAAUACGUAGGGUGCAAGCGUUAAUCGGAAUUACUGGGCGUAAAGCGUGCGCAGGCGGUUUUGUAAGACAGAGGUGAAAUCCCCGGGCUCAACCUGGGAACUGCCUUUGUGACUGCAAGGCUUGAGUGCGGCAGAGGGGGAUGGAAUUCCGCGUGUAGCAGUGAAAUGCGUAGAUAUGCGGAGGAACACCGAUGGCGAAGGCAAUCCCCUGGACCUGCACUGACGCUCAUGCACGAAAGCGUGGGGAGCAAACAGGAUUAGAUACCCUGGUAGUCCACGCCCUAAACGAUGUCAACUGGUUGUUGGGAAGGUUCCUUCUCAGUAACGUAGCUAACGCGUGAAGUUGACCGCCUGGGGAGUACGGCCGCAAGGUUGAAACUCAAAUGAAUUGACGGGGUCAUAGCUGUUUCC
rnacentral:rRNA from 1 species